UGGAAAGCAGCUGUCUUUCUUUUCCUCUUGAUUUCUUAAGAACAGCUCUCCAUUCAUUUUCUUAGUCUGCUUGGAUUCCUUCCCCUCACUCUGACUUCCCUUUCUCUUGCUUGAGAAAACCAGUACUCACAUUCCCCUUCUGGUGACUGUAUGCGUCUCCAGAAUUAAUAAUUAGGGUUUCUUUACAGAAGUGGGGGAAAGAAAGAAAAGAAAGAUGAGCGCUUCAAGGUUCAUCAAA
rnacentral:lncRNA from 1 species